rnacentral:rRNA from 1 species
AUGGCUUCUCUUCUUCCAUGGCUGCCAUGGCUCGUCGUCCCCCUCCUGUUCUUCUAUCUACUCGACAUCCUCGCCCAGGUGUGCCGUCGCGGCCUUCCACCAGGCCCCCGCCCGCUGCCGCUCAUCGGCAGCCUCCACCUCCUGGGCGACCAGCCGCACCGCUCCCUCGCCCGCCUCGCCAGGACCCACGGCCCGCUCAUGUCGCUCCGCCUGGGCGCGGUCACCACGGUGGUCGUCUCCUCCCCGGACGCCGCCCGCGAGUUCCUGCAGAAGCACGACGCCGUCUUUGCCACCCGGGCCGUGCAGGACGCGGUCGGCGCGCACGCCAGGAGCUCCGUGGCCUGGCUGCCCCACGCGCCGCGGUGGCGCUCGCUCCGCCGGAUCAUGGCCACGGAGCUGUUCGCGCCGCACCGGCUCGACGCGCUCCAGCGCCUCCGGGCCGAGAAGGUGCGGGAGCUCGCGGCGCACGUGGCCCGGCUAGCGCGCGACGGCGCGGCCGUGGACAUCGGCCGCGUAGCGUUCACCACCAGCCUGAACCUGCUGUCGCGCACCGUGUUCUCCACGGACGUGACGAGCCUCGACGACCACGGAGGGUCCAAGGGGUUCCAGGUGCUGGUGGCGGAGAUCAUGGAGGUGGCCGGCAGCCCGAACGUGUCCGACUUCUUCCCCGCGCUCGCGGCGGCCGACCUGCAGGGCCUGCGCCGGCGGUUGGCGCGGCUGUUCGCGCGGCUGCACCUGGUGUUCGACAGGGAGGUGGACCAGAGGCUGAGCCGCCGCGCGCGCGACGCCGCCGGCGAGCCCAGGAAGAAGAACGAUGACAACGACGGCGGCGACUUCCUGGACGUGCUGCUGGAUGUCGCGGAGCGGGACGACGGCCAGACCGCGCCGCUAGAUCGCGACACGCUCCGGUCGCUGUUCUCGGAUCUGUUUGCUGCUGGCAGUGACACAACCUCCAGCACAGUAGAGUGGGCAAUGGCGGAGCUUCUUCAAAACCCAUCAUCAAUGGCCAAAGCGCACGACGAACUUGCAAGAGUCAUCGGCUCAGGGAGAGACAUCGGAGAACCUGACAUCGACAGGUUGCCUUACCUCCAGGCUGUGAUCAAAGAAACCUUCCGGCUACACCCUCCCGCUCCAUUGCUACUACCGCGCCAAGCUCAGACGACCAUAAGAAUCAGAGGUUACACAAUACCCAAAGGCGCACGUGUGAUGGUGAACGUGUGGGCGAUGGGGCGGGACGAGGCUAUCUGGUCCGAGCCUGAGAAGUUCAUGCCAGAGAGGUUUCUCGGGAGGGCGGUGGACUAUAGAGGCGGAGACUUUGAGCUGAUCCCAUUUGGUGCGGGGCGCCGGAUGUGCCCAGGGAUGCCACUUGCGAUCAGGAUGGUGCAUCUAGUUCUCGGGUCGUUGUUGCAUCGGUUCGAGUGGAGGCUCCUGACGGAGGUGGAGAGAAGUGGGAUUGAUAUGUGUGAGAAGUUUGGGGUGACACUCACGAAGGCCGUGCCUCUCCGUGCUAUUGCUACACCAAUAUUAGUGGAUGACAACCGUUGA